AGUGAACGCUGGCGGUAGGCCUAACACAUGCAAGUCGAACGGCAGCACAGUAAGAGCUUGCUCUUACGGGUGGCGAGUGGCGGACGAGUGAGGAAUACAUCGGAAUCUACUUUUUCGUGGGGGAUAACGUAGGGAAACUUACGCUAAUACCGCAUACGACCUACGGGUGAAAGCAGGGGAUCUUCGGACCUUGCGCGAUUGAAUGAGCCGAUGUCGGAUUAGCUAGUUGGCGGGGUAAAGGCCCACCAAGGCGACGAUCCGUAGCUGGUCUGAGAGGAUGAUCAGCCACACUGGAACUGAGCCACGGUCCAGACUCCUACGGGAGGCAGCAGUGGGGAAUAUUGGACAAUGGGCGCAAGCCUGAUCCAGCCAUACCGCGUGGGUGAAGAAGGCCUUCGGGUUGUAAAGCCCUUUUGUUGGGAAAGAAAAGCAGCAGGUUAAUACCCCGCUGUUCUGACGGUACCCAAAGAAUAAGCACCGGCUAACUUCGUG
rnacentral:rRNA from 1 species